rnacentral:rRNA from 1 species
GAAAGUAAAGAAGGGCGCAUGGCGGAUGCCUUGGCUCUCGGAGGCGAUGAAGGACGUGAUAAGCUGCGAUAAGCUUUGGGGAGGUGCAAAUGACCUUUGAUCCAGAGAUUUCCGAAUGGGACAACCCAAUAUCUUGAAGAGGUAUUAUCUUACUAUGUAAGAGGCUAACGCAGGGAACUGAAACAUCUUAGUACCUGCAGGAAAAGAAAAUAAACAAUGAUUCCCCCAGUAGUGGCGAGCGAACGGGGAACAGCCCAAACCAUCCAUGUUACGGCAUGGGUGGGGUUGUAGGACUACGCCGUUGCAUGAAGACAUCAGAGAAGAACUUUCUGGAAAGAAAGACCAUAGAGCAUGACAGUUGCGUAUUCGAAUGUUGUCGAAGCAUAGUAGUAUCCUGAGUAGCGCGGAGCACGAGGAAUUCUGCGUGAAUCUGCCGGGACCAUCCGGUAAGGCUAAAUACUCCCGAGAGACCGAUAGUGAACCAGUACCGUGAGGGAAAGGUGAAAAGCACUUCGAACAGAAGAGUGAAAUAGUUCCUGAAACCGUGCGCCUACAAGCGGUCGGAGCUCGUUAAUGAGUGACGGCGUGCCUUUUGCAUAAUGAACCUACGAGUUGCCUUUGCCGGCAAGGUUAAGUGUGACGACACACGUAUCCGAAGCGAAAGCGAGUCUGAACAGGGCGUAUAGUCGGCAGUGGCAGACGCGAAACCAAGUGAUCUACCCUUGGCCAGGUUGAAGGCUGGGUAACACCAGCUGGAGGACCGCACCAAUAAGCGUUGAAAAGCUUCUGGAUGAGCUGAGGGUAGGGGUGAAAGGCUAAUCAAACUUGGAGAUAGCUCGUACUCCCCGAAAUGCAUUUAGGUGCAGCCUUGCGGGUUACUGAUGUGAGGUAGAGCGACUGAUAAGAUGCGAGGGCUUCACCGCCUAUCAAGUCUUGACAAACUCCGAAUGCGCAUCAGUUCUACCGCAGGAGUGAGGGCAUGGGUGCUAAGGUCCGUGCCCGAGAGGAGAAGAAUCCGGACCACCUGCUAAGGUCCCGAAAUGACAGCUAAGUUAAACUAACGAAGUCUGACUGCUAAGACAGCUAGGAUGUUGGCUUGGAAGCAGCCAUUCAUUUAAAGAGUGCGUAACAGCUCACUAGUCGAGGAGUCGGGCGUGGAUAAUAAUCGGGUAUCAAGUUGUCUACCGAAGCAGUGGGAUCAUUAAUAUGAUCGGUAGGGGAGCAUUCCAGUCGGCGUCGAAGGCGUACCGUGAGGUAUUCUGGAGCGUCUGGAAAAGCAAAUGUAGGUAUAAGUAACGAUAAAGGGGGCGGGAAACCCCCUCGCCGAAAGACUAAGGUUUCCUGAUCAACGCUAAUCGGAUCAGGGUCAGUCGGGUCCUAAGGCUCAGCCGAACGGCGAUGCCGAUGGCAGAAACGGUUAAUAUUCCGUUACUACCUUCAGGAGUGACGUGGAGACGCAGUAGUGACAGUGCCGCCAUCUGACGGAAUAGAUGGUUGAAGGGUGUAGGAGUCGAUCAUGGCAGGCAAAUCCACCAUGAGAUCCGAACCUGAUAGUAUGCCGCGUCCUUCGGGACAAGGCAAUAGUGCGCGUAAGCAUGCUGCCGAGAAAAUCCGCUAAACUUAAUCCUGGAGGUACCCGUACCGCAAACGGACACACGUAGUCGGGAUGAAUAUUCUAAGGCGCUUGAGUGAUUCACGGUUAAGGAACUAGGCAAACUGACCCUGUAACUUCGGGAUAAAGGGUCCCUACCCUUUUAUGGGAGGGCGCAGAGAAUCGGUCCAGGCAACUGUUUAACAAAAACACAGGGCUGUGCCAAAUCGAAAGAUCCAGUAUACAGCCUGACACCUGCCCGGUGCUGGAAGGUUAAGAGGAGAUGUCAUCGAUAAGAGAAGCGUUGAAUUGAAGCCCCAGUAAACGGCGGCCGUAACUAUAACGGUCCUAAGGUAGCGAAAUUCCUUGUCGGGUAAGUUCCGACCUGCACGAAUGGUGUAAUGAUCUGGACGCUGUCUCAACCGUGAGCUCAGUGAAAUUGUAGUAUCGGUGAAGAUGCCGAUUACCCGCGAUGGGACGAAAAGACCCCGUGAACCUUUACUAUAGCUUAUCAUUGAAUCUGGGCACGUGAUGUGUAGGAUAGGUCGGAGGCUUUGAAGCAGGUACGCCAGUAUUUGUGGAGCCGCUGUUGAAAUACGACCCUUUAUUUGUUUGGAUUCUAACCCGUGGAUACGGGGACAUUGAUUGGUGGGUAGUUUGACUGGGGUGGUCGCCUCCAAAAGCGUAACGGAGGCUUCUAAAGGUGCCCUCCGGCCGAUUGGUAACCGGCCUUAGAGUGUAAUGGCAUAAGGGCGCUUGACUGGGAGACUGACAAGUCGAUCAGGUAGGAAACUAGAGCAUAGUGAUCCGGUGUUUCCGUAUGGAAGGGACAUCGCUCAAAGGAUAAAAGGUACUCCGGGGAUAACAGGCUGAUCCCUCCCAAGAGCUCAUAUCGACGGAGUGGUUUGGCACCUCGAUGUCGGCUCGUCACAUCCUGGGGCUGGAGAAGGUCCCAAGGGUUGGGCUGUUCGCCCAUUAAAGUGGCACGCGAGCUGGGUUCAGAACGUCGUGAGACAGUUCGGUCUCUAUCUAUCGUGGGCGUAUGAAAUUUGCGUGGCUCUGACACUAGUACGAGAGGACCGUGUUGGACAGACCUCUGGUUUGCCGGUUGUGCCGCCAGGUGCAUUGCCGGGUAUCUAAGUCUGGAUCGGAUAAGUGCUGAAAGCAUCUAAGUACGAAGCCGGCCACAAGAUUAGAUUUCUCAGGGUCGUUGUAGACUACGACGUUGAUAGGAUGCAGGUGUAAAGAUGGAGACAUCAAAGCCGAGCAUUACUAAUUGCCCGUUCACUUUCCUUA